GGGAUAGAGACUGACACAUAGUCAACCUACAGAAGCCACACCUUUGAAGAAAGCAAGUUACAUUCUUCUAGAAAGUAUACACAGCGCCUCAGUUAGGCUGGCAGCUCAUGGACCCUUCCCUCCAUGCUAGAGUACGGCCUGGCUUGAUUGUGUGCAUCCAGCUACAAAUGCAGAGCGUUCAUGAGUGUGGUUGUCCUGCAAUGUCCAGAAGAUCAGGAAAUAUGAAGUUGAUUGUGGAAUGCUACACAAACAGCCCGUUGUAAUAUCAAGACAGCCAUUCAGCUUCUCUGACUUCUGAACUCAACUUCUUUCUAACUCUCCUGUCUCCACAAAUAUCAGUGACACACAGCUAAAGUUGUCUCUAGUCUCAUCUGUGAAAGGCAAGAAGUGUUUGGCUCAGGAGCAGAAGCUGGGAGAAACCUCACCAUGCUCUAUCAGCGCACCACCAUCAUUGCCUUCCAGGUAAUGACAGCAUCUGGAAGUUCAUGAUUAUGAUGGCCACACCAUAUCAGAAAAUAACUCACAGUACUCUUCCCUGUUUGCCAUCUUUUAUAGUCUUUCUUCCCACUUUUCUCUGAUGCUCCUGAGGGAGGGAAUGAUACAGAUGUCAGAGGCGCUUAUUCUCAGCAUUUUGAACAGUUGUGUGUCUUUGAAAUAGACAUUAUCCAUUACCAAAAGAAACUUUCCUGAGCAAGACA